UAUAAUAUUCAUUAAUGGAACAUAUUUAUGAACUUGAUGAAAAACAACUACUUUACUUUUGGUUAAACUAAUAUCGAGGGAAAGAAGAGAAAAAUAUUUCUCAAGUCUUUUUAAUGACUCAUUUAACAUUAAUUGCAUAUCAAUAAUAUUCUUUCCUUUUAUAUAAAUUAAUAAAUCAUCGGCAAAUUGCAAGUUGUUCACACUGUUUCCUAAAAUUGAAUUAAGUUUAUAGAUAUAUAAAAUAUAUAGUAGCGGGCUUAGAAUACCACCUUGACAUACUCCUUUAGAGCUUAACCUAGGUCCUAUUAAUUUACUAUUUACUUUAACAUACACUUCUCUAUUACUAAGAAAAUUAUAAAUCCAUUCGAUAAGUUUCAUUGGAAGAAAUGAGGAUAAAAUCGAAGAUAGAACUGUUAAAUUUACAUUGUUAAAAGCUCCUACGACAUCUAAAAAAACAGAUAGAACAUAUUCAUCGUUAUUCAAAGCAGUACUAAGGUCGACAUAGAAGUUCGCUAAACUUUCGCGCGCUGAAUAUCCACGGCGAAAACCAAAUUGAUUCGAUGGUAAUAUACUAUUACUUUCAAUAAAGAACUCUAAACGCUGUUUAAUUAAUUGUUCGAAUAAUUUGCCUGCACAGGACGUCAAUGUUAUAGGUCUAUAGGAGUCGAAAUUUGUAGGAUCUUUACCGGGUUUAAUUACUGGAAUCAAACAAUCCAUUUUCCAUUCUGGUGGGAUAAUACAGUCCUUCCAUAAAUCGUUAAAAAUUUGUAAGAGUUUAGUAAGGUUUAUUUUAUUCAGCAAUCGAAACAUAUUGUAUGUUAAGCGAUCAAGGCCACUAGCUGUAUCUUUUCUAGAUUUUACUGCACUGGAUAUUUCAUCAAUUGAGAAUGGGUCAGUGAGAAAUUUUGGGCAUGAAUUAACAGAAUUAAACUGUUUGUCAUCAAAAGGUGAGUGUACAAAAUCAGGAGUAUAUUUGCGUAAAAAAUCAUUGACCCAUGAUAUAUCUUUAAAAUGAUUUUGACGAUGUUUUGAAUUUAGUUUUCUCAUAUUUUGCCAAACAGUGGAAAUUGGUGUUAAUCUAUUAAAUUUGGAACAAAAUUCCUGCCACCCCUGUUGUCUUACUUGCUUAAUUACUAACUUUUUAACAGCUUGAACUCUUUUAAAAUUUAUGUAAUUAUCGAGAGUUGGAUUUUGUUUAAACCUAAGGUAAGCCGCUUUACUAUCAUUGACAGCUGUCGCACACCUGUUAUUCCACCAAGGUACUGCAAUAUGUUUGUGCCUCUUUGAAGUAUUUGCACCGCUAUUUGAUAAGUUCCUACGUGGAACGGAACGUUCCACAGCUGUCAAAAUAAUUUUACAGAACCUAUUGUAAUUGUUUAAGGGUUCAUUGACAUCAUACUCGAAAUCCAAAAGUAAUCGAUUAACAGUUUCAGAAUAAAGAUCCCAAUUAACGAGACGUAGGUUUAUACGAUUUAACAAAAGUUUAUUAACUUCAUCUAUAGGAGCAUGUUGUUCACCUGACGGAGUUGAUGAAGAGUUCUUUGUGUUUAUUUUAGUAAAAGUCGGCAGGUGAUAACUUCCUAACGGAUCAUCAUGAACCGACCACUCGCAUUUUAAUGAUAUGGAUGGGGAUACCAUAGUUAAAUCAAGGCCAUUGGGUCUCCAAAUAUGAGAGCCAACAGUAGUAACUUGCUUAUCAUUUAAUAGUACCAAAUUACAUUCAUCUAAACAAUCAAGAAUGUCUUUACCUCUUGUAUUAGUGGAGGUACAACCCCACAUAGUAUGAUGUGCAUUUAAAUCUCCAGAUAUGAUAGUGGGUUUAGGAAGAGACUCCAAAAAGAACUUAAAUUUGGCUUUAGUAAAACUAGGUGUACUAUUGGUAGGACAGUAAAUACUGGCAACUGAAUACCAAGAAUUAUUAACUUCAAUACUAAUAGCUAUAGUUUGCAAAGAAUUGUCGAAAAAAGAGUGAAGUUUUUUAUAUCUAAUACUAUUAUGUAUAAUAAUCGCUACUCCAUUGUGGUUAUUACCACAAUCAUUUCGUUCUAUACAAUAAUCUUUAAUUUUUAAUUUGUAAUGUGGUUUUAGCCAAGUUUCUGAGAUGAGAGCAAUGUGAAUAUGAUGUUCAUUUAAAAAUUGUGUAAAAAUAUGUCGAUUGCUCAGUAGGCUCUGAGCGUUCCACUGUAUGAUAGUUAAUUGGUCUCGAUUGAAUUUUGUGAAAUAGGUCUAUUACCAAAAGUAUCAUAUAACACAUUCAAAACACUUUUAGUGUUAAUAGAUGUGUUCUUUGUGUUAUGUAGUGAAAUAAGUUUGAUUAUGCUUUCUAUUAAAAGUGAUAAACUCUUGUUAUCAGAAUUUAGAAUUGAAAUUAGGUCUACAUUUUUUUUAGGUUUGUUACCCAGUUUAGGAAAUAUUUCAGUGCUAAGUAUAUCUCCAAAAGAAGCAGGUCUGAAUUUAGAUCUAUUUUCAGCAAUUUUCUUUUGUUUAACAGGGCAUUGCGGUGAUACACUUGUGUGAUUUCCAUUGCAGUGUACACAAAUAGCGUUUUCCAUUCCAGUUGUACAAGUUUUAUAAUUAUGCUCACCUUUGCAGAUGCUGCAACGCUCAGAAUUCUUACAGAAUUUAGCUAAAUGUCCAUACCUCAAGCACCGGUAGCAUUGUUUAACUGGUGGUAUAUAUGGAGUGACAUUGUGGCGCCAACCUCCAAUAUCCAGAUAUUCAGGUAAUACAGAUGCAGCAAAAGUAAUUGUCACGGUUAGAGUUGGCUGUAACACAUAUCCAUGAGUCAAGGAGGAGAGUGAGAGCAAGUCUCUGGAUCCAAUGGUUUUCUGACUAUCUGAGGAUUCUACAAAGACAACAAAUUCUGUCCCAGGGGAUUCCUCGGGAUAUCUUCUAAUAUAAUCUGUGACGUAGUAAGGUUUAUACUUAUCGGCCUUAUCAAUUUCAGAUUCUGAGUCAGUAGAAGUAUCUUCCGAAUAUAUAUCCUUGUCAUUACAAGGUUCAUGGUCUACAUCACCUGAAUCGUCAUCUUUUUUUUUCCUUUUUCUACAACUGCGCUUCCCCAUGAAUGCUAAUUAUAUUACUGUCGCUGAAUUUAGUGAAAAUAUAAUAUUUUAUUCAAUAAUAAGAAUUGAUAGAGAUAGUUUUAAUAAAUUAAUAAAAAAAAAUUUAAAAAACCCGCUUGUUCUUAUUCGAGUUUCCCGCCUUUUUUUCGGUGAAAUUCAAUGAACUUUUUCUGUCAGUAUGUAUUAAUGCCAAUGUAAAUGUCAACUAUUAAUUAUUAGCUAUUACAUUUUUCUUAAUCUAUGACAUACAAAUAUGCACAUAGAAUCCAUUCUACAUAGGACAUGAGAAUCAUGAGAACAUAUAUCAGUCAUAGAGAUUAAAUUGCUUCAUCAUUUUCACAAGCAUUAUAAUUAAUAAAUAAGUUAUAAUCGUGUAUACUACCCUAUAAGUAAUAAGUAUAACUAAACAGAUUAUUUAAAUAAUAAAUUGAUAAUAUAUUUUUAAAUAAUAACUAUAAAUUUACAAACGUAGCUUUGAUAAAUGUAUAUUAAUAAACUAGUAUUAAUAAUAAUCCAUUAACUAAUAUUUAUUAGACUAAUAAACUUUGUAAAAUAGAACCCUGAUCGAUGCACUGUAACACAAUGACGUACAUAUAAUUGCAAUCUAAAAUGAAAAGUUACUUUGUAACAAUUUCUCAGAGCCUGGAUGCCUUUCGCGAGUGAAUUAUGCAUUUCACAUGCACGUAACGGACAUUGCAAAUUGCGCGCAAAGCGAUCGGUGCUUUAUUUGUUUCUUAGACAAACAAAGGUAAGCGCCGCACGUUAUUGUGGACGGUUGAUUCGAUUUAGAGAUGUGUUAGUACAUGAAGAGAAUAUGAUAUAGGACAAACUGUCGGUGCGUGGAAACAUAUGAAAAUCACAAGGAUGACAACGGGUCAUGAUUACAGUAGAUUGCGCGGUUUGCAUGUGCGGUGUUUACGUUUGUAGCGAACAUACAAUCAAAGAAUGACGCCGGAGCCUAAAGAGAUUGGUCAUCAAGUUAGAUUUGGAAAUACAAUAAUUGGUCUAUUCCAAAAAGCCUGUUGGGAAAUUCCAGAAAUAGUAGGAGCUACAGGUCUGGCAUUCGUAGGAAUAGGUCUAGCUAUUCUCGGAUGUCGAAGAUAUAUACAAAAUGAUGGAGAUAACAGAGAGUAUAAAUCAGUAUAUAUGAUUGUACGUCCCAAUAAUCCAAGAGCAUGUCGAUUGAAAAAUCCAGUUUAUACACAGUACAAAUGUUAAACUUUUAAUAAUCUUGAACUAAUUAAGUUCGAAUAAAUAAUUAUUGUAUUAUUAUUAAUUUAAAGAUUCUUGGUCGGUGCCAUGCCUGUUAUAAUUUAUGAUUGAAUCAAAGAUUGAUUGAUUGAUUGAAUUGCUUUAGUUUUUAUUAUUAUAUAUUUUUUAUUGCAUUUAGAAAUAUAGUAAUAAUAACAAUUAAAAACAAUUGAGCAAAGGUGAACUUAUCUUUAAAAAAAAUUUCUUCCAGUGAAAAUAACAUAGUGGCAAUAAAAGUCUUGAUUAUGCAUGAGUAAGCUUAUUUAUAAUGUUAUUAGACUAAUUAACUCCCGACGCAAAAAGAGGGGUGUUAUAACUUUGACGUGUCUGUCUGUGGUGUUAUAGCUCCUAAACCAAUGGACUGAUGCAGUUAUUUAUUGUUUCAAAAUUUACGUGAUCGAAAUGGUUCUUAGCCACAAUAUAUGAGAAAUUAUUAAGGUAUUUCAAUCAGCAGCAUCAGCAUUAGUAAUCAGCUUAUAGGUUUUUUUUGUGUCGAGGUUUUUAAAAUAUUAACAAAAUUAUAGUUAUUGGUUUAUUAGCAAUGCUUGCGCA